UAUUUAAGGAUUUUACAGAGAUUUUUUAUUAUUUUAGUAUUUAAUAUGAAAAUAAGCAAUGACAUUCACAUAGGCUUUCAGAUGUUUUUUACAAUUACACAAUUAUGUUCUUUUUUUUUUUUUUUUUUCACGUUUCUUGAGAAUACAACAGGGUUUGCCUUCCAACAAGAUAUCAUUCAGUAGUUUUAUCAUCACGAAGGAUUAUGCCUUCUUAACUUUGCCAAAAAGCAAGGAAGCCUUAGAAGAGCUUGGACCAUAUUGCUGUAUAGUGUAGAAGUUCAGGUACUUGCUCCAGAGCGGUUUAAAUGGAGAAAUUCUAAGAACAGCUUUGUCUUGCUCCCAUGUCAGCAUUUCUCUGAGUUGUUUAUAACCCUGAAGCCUGGCCUGUGUGUCCUAUCUCCUACUAUGCCAUCCAUGAUUGUACUUCUGCUUCUACAGUUACAGUGUACAAGUAUAAGUAAAAGUAAAAAUAAAAGUAAAACAGAAUACAGCACCACUUUCUAGAAAAGCAGCUGUUAUAGAAAAUCAAAAACAAAUUUCUAGGCAAGAUGAUGCAAGUGAGAUGAUGUAAACCUUGCAAACACUAACCCUGAGGCUCUGAGAUUCAGUACACAACUACAGUCUGUUACUACCAAUGGCAUUCCUGUGCAUACUGGGCUAUUGGGAUAAAAAG
rnacentral:lncRNA from 1 species